AGCGAACGCUGGCGGCAGGCCUAACACAUGCAAGUCGAACGAACCCUUCGGGGUUAGUGGCGGACGGGUGAGUAACACGUGGGAACGUGCCUUUAGGUUCGGAAUAACUCAGGGAAACUUGUGCUAAUACCGAAUGUGCCCUUCGGGGGAAAGAUUCAUCGCCUUUAGAGCGGCCCGCGUCUGAUUAGCUAGUUGGUGAGGUAAUGGCUCACCAAGGCUACGAUCAGUAGCUGGUCUGAGAGGAUGACCUGCCACAUUGGGACUGAGACACGGCCCAAACUCCUACGGGAGGCAGCAGUGGGGAAUCAUGCGCAAUGGGCGAAAGCCUGACGCAGCCAUGCCGCGUGGAUGAUGAAGGUCUUAGGAUUGUAAAAUCCUUUCACCGGUGAAGAUAAUGACUGUAGCCGGAGAAGAAGCCCCGGCUAACUUCGUGCCAGCAGCCGCCGUAACAC
rnacentral:rRNA from 1 species